GCCGAACGCUGGCGGCGUGCUUAACACAUGCAAGUCGAACGAAGUGGCGAACGGGUGAGUAACGCGUAAUCAACCUGCCCUUCAGAGGGGGACAACAGUUGGAAACGACUACUAAUACCGCAUACUGAAGGAGGGGAUUGCGUCUGAUUAGCUAGUUGAAGGGGAAACGCCCACCCAAGGCGAUGAUCAGUAGCCGUUCUGAGAGUAUGAAAGGCCACAGUGGGAGUGAGCCACGGCCCAGACUCCUACGGGAGGCAGCAGUAGGGAAUCUUCCGCAAUGGGCGCAAGCCUGACGGAGCAACGCCGCGUGAGUGAAGAAGGUUUUCGGAUCGUAAAGCUCUGUUGUAAGAGAAGCGGUAUCUUACCAGAAAGCCACGGCUAACUACGUGCCAGCAGCCGCGGUAAUAC
rnacentral:rRNA from 1 species